rnacentral:rRNA from 1 species
AUCCAGCAACCUCCAAAUAGCCCCGACCUGAAUAUUCUUGAUCUCUGCUUCUUCAGGUCUCUCCAGUCGCAUACCGAUUGCAGAGCACCUCAGAGCAUAAGGGAAUUGAUAGAAGGCAUGGAGGAAGAAUAUCAAAACUAUGAUGUCAACACGUUAGCUCGAAGCUUCGUGACACUGCAAUCAUGCAUGAGAGAGAUUUUGAGAGAAAAAGGAGGGAUAGGCUACAAGAUUCCUCACAUGCAAAAAGAGCGCCGGCAGCAAGAAGGAAGGCUUCCUAUCGCUCUCUCUUUACACGUUGAGCUAGUUGAGCAAACCUUAGCACUUAUAGCAGCAGCAGACCUCGAGACAGCAGCAGCAACACCUUUGAAGCAGAGAAAGAGAAAGAGGAGCGGCAGCACCCUCCAAGUAGAGAAAGGGAAAGAAGACCAGCAACAUCCUCCAAGCAGCAGUACCCUACAAGCAGUAGCAGCACCACCACCACCUUCGAAGCAGAGAAAGAGAAAUAAGAGCAGCAGCACCCUCCAAGCAAAGAAAGGGAAAGAAGCAGAGAAAGGGAAAGAAGACCAGCAACAUCCUCCAAGCAGCAGUACCCUCCAAGCACUAGUAGAAAAAGGACCUAUUGUCCCGGUUCGUAAGGGCCAUUUGUCCCGGUUUUUGAACCGGGACUAA